rnacentral:rRNA from 1 species
GUCUAUGGCCAUUCCACCCUGAACAAGCCCAAUCCCGUCUGAUCUCAGAAGCUAAGCAGGGUCAGGCCUGGUUAGUCCUUGGAUGGGAGACCACCUAGGAAGACCAGGUCCUCUAGGCG